rnacentral:rRNA from 1 species
UGUGAACUUAAUUUUAGAGCAAUUCAAGUAAGGUACAGCCUGCUUGAAACAGGAUACAACCUAAAAAUGUGGGUAAUUAAAUCUUUCUGCCAUAAAGUGGGCCUAAAAGCAGCCACCUUUUGAAUAGCGUCACAGCUUAAUCACAUACAGAUUUAAUAACAAAAAUUUUACUGAACCCCACCCUACUACCAAGCAAUUCUAUAUUUUUAUAGAACUUUUUAUGUUAAAACUAGUAACAAGAAGAACCCCUUCUCUUUAAUGCAAGCAUAAAUCAGCCAGGACCAACCACUGAUAAUUAACACCUAUGAACUAAUAGUAACAACACUUCAAGAAAACCUUACUUCAUCUUAUGUUAACCUAACACAAGAGCAUUAUAAGAAAGAUUAAAAGAAAAAGAAGGAACUCGGCAAACAUUAACCCCGCCUGUUUACCAAAAACAUCGCCUCUUGAUUCUAAUAAGAGGUCCAGCCUGCCCAGUGACUUUGUUCAACGGCCGCGGUAUCCUAACCGUGCGAAGGUAGCGUAAUCACUUGUUCUUUAAAUGAGGACUAGUAUGAAUGGCACCACGAAGGUUAUACUGUCUCCUUUAUCUAAUCAGUGAAACUAAUCUUCCCGUGAAGAAGCGGGAAUAAACAUAUAAGACGAGAAGACCCUAUGGAGCUUUAAACAAGUAUACAACUGCCUUUCCUAUUUUAAAAUUUCAGAAAACAAACCAUUAUUUAGGCAUUUUGGUAUAAAGUUUUAGGUUGGGGUGACCACGGAGAAAAAUGUAACCUCCGCAAUGAACGGGGCUUCCCCCCCCUUAACUAAGAGCUACGACCCUAAGAAUCAAUAAAUUGACAUCAAUUGACCCAAUAAAUUUGAUCAAUGAACCAAGUUACCCUAGGGAUAACAGCGCAAUCCACUUCAAGAGCCCCUAUCGACAAGUGGGUUUACGACCUCGAUGUUGGAUCAGGGUAUCCUAGUGGUGCAGCCGCUACUAACGGUUCGUUUGUUCAACGAUUAAAACCCUACGUGAUCUGAGUUCAGA